rnacentral:rRNA from 1 species
AUUGAACGCUGGCGGCAUGCCUUACACAUGCAAGUCGAACGGCAGCACGGUGGCAACCCUGGUGGCGAGUGGCGAACGGGUGAGUAAAGCAUCGGAACGUGCCCAAUAGUGGGGGGAUAGCCCGGCGAAAGCCGGAUUAAUACCGCAUACGACCUGAGGGUGAAAGCGGGGGAUCGCAAGACCUCGCGCUACUGGAGCGGCCGAUGUCAGAUUAGGUAGUUGGUGGGGUAAAGGCCUACCAAGCCUGCGAUCUGUAGCUGGUCUGAGAGGACGACCAGCCACACUGGGACUGAGACACGGCCCAGACUCCUACGGGAGGCAGCAGUGGGGAAUUUUGGACAAUGGGCGCAAGCCUGAUCCAGCCAUGCCGCGUGCGGGAAGAAGGCCUUCGGGUUGUAAGCACUUUCGACGGGGACGGAUGAUGACGGUACCGUAGAAGAAGCCCGGC